UCUUUAUUGCUUAGUUGGUGCGUUGAGGCCUAAGUGGUGUUAUAAACUAAUUCAAAUUGUGAAACUAUGAAUGGCUUAUUAAAUUAGUUAUAGUUUAUUUGAUGGUAUCUACUAGUCGGAUAACCAUAGUAAUACUACAGCUAAUACGUGUAGAAACCCCAACUUCUAAAAGGGAUGCAUUUAUUAGAUAAAAGAUCAAUGUGAGCUUUGCCCGUUGUUUUAAUGAUUCAUGAUAACUUGAUCGAUUGCAUGGCCUUUAUGUUGUGCUAGCAAUGCAUCAUUCAAAUUUUUUCCCUAUGAAGUUUUGAUGCUAGGAUAGUGGCCUACUAUGGUGGUGAUGGGUGAUGGAGAGUUAGGGAGAGGGAGCCUAAGAAAUAGCUACCACAUCCAAGGAAGGCAAUAGGAGCAGAAAUUACCCAAUCUUGACAUAGAGAGUUAGUGACAAUAAAUAACAAUAUUGAGCUUUAUAAGUCUAGCAAUUAGAAUGAAUACAAUCUAAAUCCCUUAGCGAGGAUCCAUUGGAGGGCAAGUCUGGUGCCAGUAGCCAUAGUAAUUCUAGCUCCAAUAGUAGAAAUUUAAGUUGUUGCAGUUAAAAAGUUCAUAAUUAGAGUUAGGGUUAAGUCAUCUGGUCUACCUCACAAUAAGCAUCAGUUUACUUGUCCCUACUACUGGUGAUGUGCCCUUGGCCUUAACUGGCUGGGUCAUUCCUCCGACACUGCUACUUUGAAGAAAUUAGAGUGCUUAAUGUAUGCCCUUUCUUGUAUGCAUUAUAAAGGGAUAACAUCAUAGGAUUUUGGUCCUAUUGUGUUGGCCUUCAAGAUUAGAGUAAUGAUUAACAGAGACAAUCAAGGGCAUUUGUUUUUCAUAGUUAAAAGUGAAAUUUUUGGAUUUAUAAGAGAUGAACAACUACAAAAGCAUUUACCAAGGAUAUUUUUAUUAAUCAAGAAUGAAAGUUGGCACUAGAACAUGAUCAGAUACCAUCCUAGUCUCUACCAUAAAUGAUGCUGACCAGGGAUCAACAAAUGUUACUUUUAGGACUCUGUUGGUACCUUAUGAGAAAUCAAAGUCGUUGGGGUUUCAGGGGGAAUAUGGUCGUAGGGCUAAAACUUAAAGGAAUUGAUAGAAGGGCACUACCAGGAGUGGAGCCUAUAGCUUAAUUUCACUCAACAUGGGGAAACUUACCCGCUAUACAUGUAGUAAAGAUUGAUAGAUUGAUAGAUUGAGAGCUUUUUCUUAAUUCUAUGGGUGGUGGUGCAUGGCCGUUCUUAGUUGGUUGAAUGAUUUGUCUGGUUAAUUCUAUUAAUGAACAAGAUCUCAACCUACUAACUAGCUACGUGAAGGUGAUUCAUCAUGGCUAGCUUCUUAGAGGGACUAUGGCCAUUUAGGCCAAGGACGUUUGAGGGAAUAACAGGUCUAUGACACCCGUAGAUGUUUUGGGCUACUCAAACACUACACUAGUGUAUUGAACAAGUCUAUAGCCUCGACUAAUAGGCCUGAGUGAUCUUGAAAUUUCAUCAUGAUAGGGAUAGAUCAUUGCAAUUGUUAGUCUUCAACAAGGAAUUCCUAGUAAACAUGAUUCUUCAGCUUAUGUUGACUAUGUUCUUGCCCUUUGUACACACUACCUAUCACUUUUACCGAUUGAAUGGUCCGGUGAAGUGUUUGGAUCAUGGUGAUGUGGAAGGUUUGUUUCCAGAGAUGUUGUAAGAAGUCCAUUGAACCUUAUCAUUUAGAGAAAGGAGAAGUCAUAGCAAGGUUACCUACUAAACGAAUGACCCAC
rnacentral:rRNA from 1 species